rnacentral:rRNA from 1 species
GACGAACGCUGGCGGCGUGCCUAAUACAUGCAAGUCGAACGCAGUGGGGACGGGUGAGUAACCCGUGGGUAACCUCCCAUCAGAGGGGAUAACACUUGGAAACAGGUGCAAAACCGAUACUGAUGGAUGAACCCGCGGUGCAUAAGCUCGUUGGUGAGGUAACGGCGCACCAAGGCCACGAUGCAUAGACGACCUGAGGGGGCGAUCGGCCACACUGGGACGGAGACACGGCCCAGACUGCGACGGGAGGCAGCAGUAGGGAUUCUUCGGCAAUGGACGAAAGUCUGACCGGGCAACGCCGCGUGAGUGAAGAAGGUUUUCGGAUCGUAAAGCUCUGUUGUUAGAGAAGCGGUAUCUAACCAGAAAGCCACGGCUAACUACGUGCCAGCAGCCGCGGUAAUAC